UACGUAGGGGGGCUAGCGUUGUCCGGAAUCAUUGGGCGUAAAGCGCGUGUAGGCGGUCCGGUAAGUCCGCUGUGAAAGUCGGGGGCUCAACCCUCGAAUGCCGGUGGAUACUGUCGGGCUAGAGUGCGGAAGAGGCGAGUGGAAUUCCUGGUGUAGCGGUGAAAAUGCGCAGAUAUCAGGAGGAACACCAAUUGCGAAGGCAGCUCGCUGGGACGUACUGACGCUGAGACGCGAAAGCGUGGGGAGCAAACAGG
rnacentral:rRNA from 1 species